AACAGGAUUAGAUACCCUGGUAGUCCACGCCGUAAACGAUGUCGACUUGGAGGUUGUGCCCUUGAGGCGUGGCUUCCGGAGCUAACGCGUUAAGUCGACCGCCUGGGGAGUACGGCCGCAAGGUUAAAACUCAAAUGAAUUGACGGGGGCCCGCACAAGCGGUGGAGCAUGUGGUUUAAUUCGAUGCAACGCGAAGAACCUUACCUGGUCUUGACAUCCACAGAACUUUCCAGAGAUGGAAAGGUGCCUUCGGGAACUGUGAGACAGGUGCUGCAUGGCUGUCGUCAGCUCGUGUUGUGAAAUGUUGGGUUAAGUCCCGCAACGAGCGCAACCCUUAUCCUUUGUUGCCAGCGGUCCGGCCGGGAACUCAAAGGAGACUGCCAGUGAUAAACUGGAGGAAGGUGGGGAUGACGUCAAGUCAUCAUGGCCCUUACGACCAGGGCUACACACGUGCUACAAUGGCGCAUACAAAGAGAAGCAAUCUCGCGAGAGCUAGCGGACCUCAUAAAGUGCGUCGUAGUCCGGAUUGGAGUCUGCAACUCGACUCCAUGAAGUCGGAAUCGCUAGUAAUCGUGAAUCAGAAUGUCACGGUGAAUACGUUCCCGGGCCUUGUACACACCGCCCGUCACACCAUGGGAGUGGGUUGCAAAAGAAGUAGGUAGCUUAACCUUCGGGAGGGCGCUUACCACUUUGUGAUUCAUGACUGGGGGUGAAGUCGUAACAAGGUAACC
rnacentral:rRNA from 1 species